CGUGCAGAGCGUAGAGAACUCUCCACCAUUGGUCGUUUAUCUUCCAACUGCUGUCUAAACGCACGAUGAUCAUCCUGCCUUGAAGCUAAACCCAACUCAGUGUCUUUCCUAAUCACCCAUUCUGUCAACUCCCUUAGAGCUACUUGCCAACGACGCUCCAUCUCAUCACCACGCAGCUGCAGCAUGAGCGCAUCCUCAGGUGCUAAAGUACCCAGCAGCGCUAAACUAGAAGUUCUUAAAGCUUGAUGCGUGGUUGAUUGCCUGUCUAUAUCAAUCUGAAGUUCUUCCAGACCCUGAGCGCCUCUCCGUGAGUCGCUAUCGGCCUCGAGCGACUCGAGCACAGACUCCACCUCGCUUAACCAUGCGAGGAACUUGUCAAGAGAGCGGUCGAGGUUUUGCAGAGAGCUCAUCGCAGCGUGAAGAAGCUUGCCACGGUUGAUCACGCAUGCAUCGAGUCGAGUAUAGAGUUGAGUUAUGUCUGAUACAGACUUAACAAAGAAGGUUACAAACAUUUUUAUCUAUUCACGACUAGACAACAAUAAAUUAUUAAAAAAAAAACAAUAACACCAAGUUUAGGAAAGGAAUAUAUUGUUAAAAUAACAUAAAUUAAACCACAUUUAAAUGAUGAAUUGAUAAAAAAAUUCACUUACUCGCUUAAAA